AGCGGAAGCAGGGGUGCUAUGCACCCCGCUGUCGAGCGGCGGACGGGUGAGUAAUGCAUAGGAAACUGCCCAGUAGUGGGGGAUAGCCCGGGGAAACCCGGAUUAAUACCGCAUACGCCCUUCGGGGGAAAGCAGGGGAUCUUCGGACCUUGCGCUAUUGGAUGUGCCUAUGUCGGAUUAGCUAGUUGGUGGGGUAAAGGCCUACCAAGGCGACGAUCCGUAGCUGGUCUGAGAGGAUGAUCAGCCACAUCGGGACUGAGACGCGGCCCGAACUCCUACGGGAGGCAGCAGUGGGGAAUAUUGGACAAUGGGGGCAACCCUGAUCCAGCCGUGCCGCGUGUGUGAAGAAGGCUUUCGGGUUGUAGAGCACUUUCCGCGAGGAGGAAAACCUGGCUAUUAAUACUCGUCGGGCUUGACGUUACUCGCAGAAGACGCAGCGGCUAACUCCGUGCCAGCAGCCGCGGUAAUACAGAGGGUGCGCGCGUUACUCAGAAUUAGUGCGCGUAGCGCGCGCGUACGCUUUUUAUAUAAGCGAUAUGAGAGACCCGCGCGCAUACUGUGAAAGGGGGUUUUCCAAAUGUCUCGCGAAAGAAUAGAGUACAGGAGAGUAAAAUACCUGUGUAUAGCGGAGAUGCGCACAUGUAUGAUAGGACACGUCUUGGGCGCAAGGGGCUAUCUGGGCCCUACAGACACUGAGGUGGGCAAAGCGCUGUGGGCGACCAGAGGGAAAUAUAAUACACCUCGGGAGCUCCACGCGCCGAUAACGAAAGUACUAUAUCAACCUAUUGGGACAUCUAUGAAGUCUCUAAAGUGAGCCGCAUUUUAACCUGCCCUAAUGCUAGGAGCUGCACCUGGCGGGAGUACUGGCGCACACCGGUCUAAAAUCUUCACAGUGCAUAUGACGGGGUGUCCGGCCACAGUCAGUUCGGACAUGGUGCUUUAAUUCGACGCAUCGCGAAGACUCAUAGCUGGGCCAUUGACCUGGUUG
rnacentral:rRNA from 1 species